ACACGUCAUUUUCACAUUGAAAGGAGCAACCAAACUCGAGAAGGUUCAUUCGAUUCCUUCUCUCCAUUUUUAUCCCUCCGUUUCUUAUUCUCUAUUCUGAUCUUUCUCUCUAUUUUUAUGGCUUUGUAUCUAUUUUAUAGGCAUUAUUUCACACGCGCCAUUUUCAACCGAAAGCAGCAACCAAAAUCACUCGAGAAGGUUCAUUCCAUUUGCUUCUCUCUAUUCUUAUUGCUUUGUUUCUUAUUCUCUAUUCUGAUAUGUAUUUCAUUGUAUGCCUGUGUAUAUUCCUUCUCCCCAUUCUAAUCACUUUAUUUUUUCGCUUCUAUUUUCUUUAUGUUUUUCAUUCUUUGCUUCUGUAUAUUCAUAUUCUCUGUUCUUAUUGCUUUGUUUCUUAUUUUUUCUAUUAUUGAAAGAAUAAAAAAGAGCUGAUGUAGAUUAAUUUUCACUGUCUCUUUACAUUCACUACCAUGGCUUGUAUAUACAUCUACCUCCUAUACAUAUACAAAGUGUAUGUAUAAUAUUCCUAGACAAGGUAUAUUGUUUACUAUGUGAUCUCAUACUCACUUUAGUGUAUUUGCACUAAUACAAAUGUGAGCAUA
rnacentral:lncRNA from 1 species